rnacentral:piRNA from 1 species
UGACUUCUCGUGAGAUCUGGCCACUGAAA